rnacentral:lncRNA from 1 species
AUUGUUCAAGGAGACAAAAAUAGUGUUCAACUACUUGCUUCUUCAUUCUUUCAGGGCUUUGAUGGAAUUCCAGGGACACCUGGUCCACGAGGGCCAAAGGUAGGAAAAUGAUAAGACUUCUACAUUAAAAGAAAUUGACAAUGUAUGGCAGCAGAAAUAUGUUCUCCUUGAGGUAUACAUUAGUGGAAAUCUGUCAUUUCACAGGGUGAAAGAGGACUGCCAGGUGUUCAUGGACUCCCUGGUGACAUCGGACCUCCAGGAAUGGGAAUUCCUGGCCAACCAGGAUCCAGAGGACCCUCUGGAGAGCCAGGUAUUCAGGUAGAAUCUUUACUAAGUCAUUUGGUUAAGUGAAUAUAGUAUGCUUCAUAGACAGUAAUUGUCAGAAGACUCCUGUCAUAAGUAAUCAUGAUUUCUCUGUCUUUUCAGGGUCCUAGAGGCCUCCCUGGGUUACCAGGAACUCCAGGGACCGAUGUGAGUAACAGGUUUACAUUCUAAUAUUUUACAUUAAUCCUAUCUUCAUUUGAGGAAUUUAAAAGAUGAUGUUCUCUUUU